rnacentral:rRNA from 1 species
AUGAAGAUCAAGAAGGGGAUCGUGAGCGCUCCUCCGGCGCCGCCGGCUGAGAUCGCCUCCCACCCCAUCCAUCCGGAGCACAAGCUGCUGCUUGUCACCACCGACGACGUGGAGUUCGAGUGCGACGGCUGCAAGGAGAGGGGGGCCGGCGGGAGGUACACCUGCGAUCACUACGGCGAGCACCGCGGCUGCGACUUCGACCUCCACAUCGGCUGCGCGCUCGCGCCGGACGUGCUGGAGACCCCUCUGUUGUUCGAGGGGCGCGCGUUCGUGCUCCUCCACGAGCCCCCGCCUCCCGACCCCGCCGACCACCGGGUCUGCGACGCGUGCGGCGACAAGGUGCUCGGCCUCGUGUACCACUGCUUCGACCGCGACCUCGACCUCCACCCGUCCUGCGCGCGCCUGCCUCCGCGCGUCGACCUCGACGGCCUCGCCUUCGAGCUCUGCCGCGAGCACGUGCCGAGCCGGAGCUGCGUCCUCUGCACCGGCAAGGGGCGCCGCUGCCGGCGCAAGUUCUUGUCGUACCGCUCCGAGUGGGACGGCGAGGCCGUUUACCUGCACGUGGCCUGCGUGAAGGAGAUGGCCUACGAGAGCCUCAAGUCCGGCCACGGCAGCCAUGACGGCGGCGGGAAGACGGUCGUGCAAGCGAAUAAGGCCCCGUCUUUGAAGGUGGCGCUGGCGCUCAAGAAGGCUCAGAGUAGCACCAGGCGCUUCAAACGUUUCCUCAAGAUUGUCGGAUUCUUCGCGCGCGUCGUCAUCGGCGUGAUCUUUGGGGACCCGACGGCGAUGAUCGCUGCGGUCGUGGAGGUUGUCUUCUCCCGCGGCGGCGGAUAG